UCCAGAAAAGUCCAUAAAAUAGCCAUAUUUGGUUGGCUAUCCUCCUGUUUUCUCUCCUUGCUUCCUGAAUCAUUGGCUCCUCUGCAUCCUCUGCGUUCUCCCGGUGACCAACUCUGAAGGCAGUGCCACCACCAGUAGCAGCACUGAAGUAAGAAAUGAUGUGAGAAACCAUAGCAGCAGCAACCUGCAGAUAUUAAAAAAACCCACUUGCUUAUCAGAACACCCAGCCUGUAGCUACCCAGAUGUUCAAUGGGAAAUUCACAACAUCUCUACUGGAAUCUCCUCCCUUUUCAUGAAGAACACUAAUUGCCUGCAUAUCUUCUUGGCAACAGCCAUAUU